UCGAGCGGUAGAGAGGUGCUUGCACCUCUUGAGAGCGGCGGACGGGUGAGUAAAGCCUAGGAAUCUGCCUGGUAGUGGGGGAUAACGCUCGGAAACGGACGCUAAUACCGCAUACGUCCUACGGGAGAAAGCAGGGGACCUUCGGGCCUUGCGCUAUCAGAUGAGCCUAGGUCGGAUUAGCUAGUUGGUGAGGUAAUGGCUCACCAAGGCGACGAUCCGUAACUGGUCUGAGAGGAUGAUCAGUCACACUGGAACUGAGACACGGUCCAGACUCCUACGGGAGGCAGCAGUGGGGAAUAUUGGACAAUGGGCGAAAGCCUGAUCCAGCCAUGCCGCGUGUGUGAAGAAGGUCUUCGGAUUGUAAAGAGCUUUAAGUUGGGAGGAAGGGCAUUAACCUAAUACGUUAGUGUUUUGACGUUACCGACAGAAUAAGCACCGGCUAACUCUGUGCCAGCAGCCGCGGUAAUACAGAGGGUGCAAGCGUUAAUCGGAAUUACUGGGCGUAAAGCGCGCGUAGGUGGUUCGUUAAGUUGGAUGUGAAAUCCCCGGGCUCAACCUGGGAACUGCAUUCAAAACUGUCGAGCUAGAGUAUGGUAGAGGGUGGUGG
rnacentral:rRNA from 1 species